UCGUCCCAAAUUUGCCCUGAUAUUCCCAAUCCAUUCCAAAAUUCUCUAUCUCCUCUUCUCUUCUCAACUCGGUGACGGCAGCAGCGCGCAAUCCCUCUUCUUCGUCGAUGUCUCCGGCAGGUAAGUUUCAUUACUCUCCCCUCACCUCUCCGGCAUUUUCGGCGCACUGCGGCCAGCCGUGCCUGGUCGGCGCGGCUGGCCUUGCACGGCAACUGCGGGGCGCCGGAUCUGGCCUUGGCUGGCCCGCUGGCGGCCCCCUGUCGGCCGCUGGUGGCCCAGCCGGCUGCUGGUUGGCCAGGAGGGCCGCUGGCGGCCGAUCGCCGCCCCCUGGGCCGCUGUGGCCCCCUGGCCGCUACCAGGCCGGGGUGGCCGCUGCCGGCCCCUAGGUGCAUCGAAUGCAUACUGCCUUCAGGGACUAUGAGAGGAGUUACGACGCCCACAUCGCAGGGUCACUUCACUAUGCCAGUGACACUUUCUCAGAGAGGAUGUCGGACCUCGUCCACGCUGUCAAGGGCAAGGACACCCUAGUCUUUCAUUCCGCCCUCAGCCAGGUCGCCCCUUUUCUUCUCUUGUCAAUUGUUGUGGCUGGCGCAUUGGUGGUCAACUCCACUGCUGUGCGUGGUGGUUUUAGAUGCGUUUACGCACCGGGAUUCACUGGAGAUGGUUUUGCUGGGGGCACUGGAUGUCUUAAAUCUUGUAGCAAUGAUCCUCAAGAUGAGAAUGACGUAGGGUGCUAUAAGGGGAGGUUUUGCAGAAAAAGAAUGGUUAUUCUUGUUGGUACGUGCCCAUUAUCUAUCUUGUUUCAAUUGUAUAUUUUUACAUCUCCGGAUCUUGCUGGCACCUCAGAAUGAAUAUUGCGUCUGAAAUUGCAAGUGCCCUUGCAUACCUGUAAUACGAAAUAUCAAUAUCAAAUUAUAUUGAAGAUCUCAAGACCAGUGACAUACUUAUAGACACUUACUAUUCUGCCAAAGUUACUGGUUUCAAGUUCCUCAAAUCUGGACUUGUUGAUGGAUCCUACUCAUUCGUGGUCUCUCAUGAUACUUAUGCCAUCUACAGCCUUAGUCUUAUGUUACUUGAACUAAUCAUGGGCUCCAAACCUGGAAAUCUUUCAGAUACAAUCUUGCCUAAGAUUGAAAGUAACAAGUUUCCUGAGAUUGUGGAUCCAACAUGUGCAGACAACAUGUGCAGCAAUAGCAGAAUAGAGCCUAAACUAGAGAAUACAAACUAGAACAUAUCAGAGAUGACCAUUCAUCGGAAAUGUGUAUUCCUUUUGAGGAAAGAAGUUUGAAGGUGAUUGUGUUGAAGGCAACCGGACAAGCAAUCAAAAAAGUUGUAGCUGCUAUUGGAAUUAUCAAGGAAAAGAAGAACGGAAAAGAAGGCGAAUGAAGUUCGGGAUGAUGAUUUGUAUUGUCUUUUUUUUUUUUUUGCUUUGAAUGUCUUGUUAGAUUUGUUGUUUGGAUUAUGACUUGUUGACCUUUGUAUUUUGCAUAUUAUAUGACUUGUUGUUUGAAUAUUGUUUAUUUGUGUAUGAAUAUGAUGUGUUUAAUUUUGAAUGACUUCUUGGAAUGUU